CACUUUCGUCCGAUUUUUGUUAGUCUGGUUUUUUCGUCACACCUCUCCCGCUACAGAACGAAAGAAAAAAAUGUAUGCCGCCGCGAUAGGAAACCCACACGCACGUACGCACGCACGCACGCAACAGCCUCAUCCUCCCAUGAUCGCCCCCAAUGCCGCCUGCAGGCCAUGCCGGUCGCCCACCAGAUUCCUUGCCGGUCCUUCUACACGCGGCACCGCCUCCCUUGCAAGGACGCCCCGCCAUGAGUCUCCAUCAGUGCCACGACUGUCGCAGCCUCCCCACCUGCCGACGCUCCAGAUCCGGUCGUAGUUGACCCCCUCUACAUCAGUGAUCGGUCAAGGUAGGGGGUGUGGCGCUAUCCAUCUUCCCGCGUGUAUGGCGGCCGGUGCCCGUGUCCGUGUAUCCCGGCCAAGGGUGUCCUUGAGAUCCGUUGAUCCAUGGUCAGAUCUCGAGGAGAGGGGGCGUGCGGCGGUUGCCGCCGUCGGUGGCUGCACUUGAAGGUCUCCGUCGCUUGCUCCAACCAAAUCCAGCCAAACCCGUCCUAUGGUGGUCCACGUGCAUCUGGACGGACGCAACGGCUCGGCCACCCCUGUCCUUGGUCUUCGUCCACCACACCAUCCCAUUACGAUACAUGUGUGCUUCUCCUGUCGUGCAUGUGCUGGGUCAGCUGCUGCUACCCGGGCUCACAUGACCACGUGGAGGAAGGAGCUGUGCAAGGAAUCACUGCCAAAAGACUGAAGACGAGUUUGAAGAGUCCUGGAUUCCAGGCCAUGUUCCGUAAGGAAGAAGCAACGCGAGCUAGCCGAGGAUUCAGAUUGACAGGCGCUUUGAUUCUCGUUGAUUCAUUAUUUUGACCGACCCAAGCAGUGCCGGCGCUCACGGAGGAGAACCUGAUGUUCCUAGAGGCCUGACGUGCGGUCGAUCACACUUACUACAACAAGUCUUCCAACAGGUGGAGCUGGUUCAGGUACCACAAGCACCCUCCAUGACAAGCAGGUUCUAGUUGUGCGAAGUUUGUCUGUUACUGCUAUCCAUACUACGCCAUAGCAAAAUAGGUUUAUCUGAUGCCUCAACUGCCUUCUGCCAGUCACCCAUUUUUAUUUAGCGUUGGUCUAGGGAAUUUUUGGAGUUGUUGUGUGUACCUUCAUGUUUUUACUUGUGAAAUGUCUUCAUGUUUUUUAGAUUACAUAAAUUUUUGAAAGCUGGAUUUUUGUAUGUCUUAGUUUCUACAUUUGUGAAACUGAAAGCUAUUAUCAUGGGACAGAAAAAUAAACUUCUUCUGUUACUAUUGUGUGUUUAAUCUCUCCGUCCCAAAAUUUAGCACAACUUCAGCGGCACUUAUUUUGGGAGGGAGGGAGUAGUUAUUUCCCACAAACAUUGCUAUUUGAGUCUGAGAAUCUAAAUCAUCUUCUAAGGUUCUGACAAACUCUAAUCAUCACCUUUAUGAAUAUGUUAAACAAAUGAAGGAUGUUAUUAAGAUUUUCUUAUCUUGUCUUUUUUAGUUCACUGUUUGCAGCCUCACGAAUUUCGGCGGCCCCGACAUUUAUGUUCCAAAAAUUACAGUUAGCUGCUCAAUGGAAAACCUUACGUGAAGUAAUAGAACUAAACACUAAUAUUAUGACUAUAGGGUUGCUAGAUAACUGAUCAACAAUACUGUCAACUAGGUAUGUAUUUUUCCCUAGAUUAAAGACAAGUAGGCUUCCUCCUCCCUGCAGCUUAAGCCAUUUAGUUCAUAUUGAUAUUUUAGAGCCUAGAGAAGAUAACUAAAUGUUUAUUGGGAAAUGUUUUAAAUGGAGGGAUAUCCUAUAACCUGUAUUUGACACUAUAAUACGAGUCUGCAAAUCAUUCAAGGAUCAAAUAUUAUUGUCCGUUUCUACCACAUAAUGGUUGCUUUUAUUGUUCGAAAUUUGUAUUAGUAGUUGAUAUAGUGAUUAGAUCAACCUUGCAGUACUAAUGGGCUCCUUUUAGCCUUGCUUAUAUGGUCAGCUUUUGGAAAUUAAUUGAUCAUGUUUUCCUCUUUUGGAUCAGAACACUAUAAAUAAGAUAUGUCUAAGCUGAGAGUGGUUUUAGAUCUGAGCUUCACACUAGAAAGGCUGCAAUCCCCUUCUAGAUAUACAUCUUUAUCCUAUAUGUUUCUUCAUAAUUCUUAUGAACUUUAGUAGAAUAGAGAGUUUUUAAGCCUUUAAAUUAGCAUGUAUGGACAUUUGAUUGAGUCAAGUCGCCCUUUUAGUUGAAAGAGGAAGCAUAGUAAAUGCAUUUUUUGUGUCUUCUACUCGGCUAGACUUGCUCAAUCGUAACUUGAUGAUUUUCUAGGAUUUGACACAUCUCCACUUGCAAGGCUACAACAAGAUUUAGUCCUUAGAUUGAUUAAUUACACACAUGUACAAGAAAAUAUAUCACUUGAAUUGUUUGAUUUGCAUCGAGGAGAAUGCCGACAUAGCAUCAGAGCACGCGCACAGCUUUAUAGGGUACAUAACCAAACCGUUGGCGCGCAUGUUGAGACCAUGAGCCCACGUGGGACCUCCAAAGAACCUGAAAAUCACCGACAUUGCCAGCAAGGUCGUUGUGAAUUAAAGGGAUGUUGUAAAUUGACACGCUUGAACCACAUGCUUCGAGAGACGAUGUCGUUGACUUCGGCAACGAUGAGCAAGGUGGCGAAUACCAGCCAGAGCUAUUUGAGGUCUUUGAGAGCCACAAGCAGAGCCUUGGCAGGCUCUAAGAGUGGGAGAUCUUCUAGCACCAGUCGAUGGCCAGAUCGUCAAUCAUGUAAGGAAGCCUCUCACGCAUUCAUGAUUUCUGGCCGUUCGAUCUUGCCUAUGGACUCUGCUGGCCGUCAGAUGUAGGUUUCUAAUCCCGCACAACCCUGCACACUCGGCUGGGCUACUACUCCCGUAGCAAAAACGCAGGCACCUCGUUGAUUGGGUCUGCUACAAGGAGCCUGUUACUGCCCCUCUGCAUGGGCUAGCCCAUCUAACGCUCGGUCGAGGUCGCUGUCCCCCCAGUACCCGGGUGAUCCGAAGAGGCAGCGACGACACGGCGGCGCCGCCCCACGUUCUUCCUUCCUAUCGAUCAUGGUGGAGAUCCAUUGCCACUGUGAAGCCCAACUCGUGAGCGAGCGUCGGAGGUCGAGGAAGAAGAGAAGAGGGGGAGAGGGGCACUCCCAUUUUAGGACACGCUGCUGUGUAAAUGGAGAUAACUGCUACCAUCCCUUGCUCUAGCCCUGCCCUGCACGGCACUACGGCAGCCGCGGGCUCUCCCAUCCAUGGUGGCUGCCCAUCAGACCUCCUCUUCCUUGCCGGCGUGCUGAACUGACUUGUGGGUUGCUGCGUGACGGGUGAGACUCCUUGUUGGAUGUGAUAUAUUUCUUCUACUAGAUCAUUGCUGGCACGUGUUGCCGCACCCGUCCUUUUUUUUUACUAUAGUAUGAAGUGCUAGGAAUUUAUGUAAAAACAUGGAGUUGUUUAUCAGCAAUUUUUUUGUUUUCUUUCCAAACUUGAGUCCAUAAUGAAUGUUUAAUCAUUUUCAA